rnacentral:rRNA from 1 species
ACGCUCGACACCUACGGGAGGAGCAGUGGGGGAUAUUGCACAAUGGGGGAAACCCUGAUGCAGCAACGCCGCGUGAACGAAGAAGGCCUUCGGUUGUAAGUUCUGUUCUUAGUGAAGAAGCAUGACGGUAGCUAAGGAGAAAGCUCCGGCUAACUACGUGUCAGCAGCCGCGGUAAUCUGAGCGGGCUGGCAAGGC